UAUCCCCUACGGGGCGCAGCAGUGGGGAAUAUUGCACAAUGGGGGAAACCCUGAUGCAGCGACGCCGCGUGAGUGAAGAAGUAUUUCGGUAUGUAAAGCUCUAUCAGCAUGGAAGAAAAUGACGGUACCUGACUAAGAAGCCCCGGCUAACUACGUGCCAGCAGCCGCGGUAAUACGUAGGGGGCAAGCGUUAUCCGGAUUUACUGGGUGUAAAGGGAGCGUAGGCGGCGCGUUAAGUCUGAUGUGAAAACCCGAGGCUCAACCACGGGAGUGCAUUGGAAACUGGCGGGCUGGAGUGCCGGAGG
rnacentral:rRNA from 1 species